rnacentral:lncRNA from 1 species
GCUACUUUGGUUUUGUAUUUUAAUAUUUUAUUCAGUUCAUGUGUUGUUAGUUCUUCAACUAUGUUAUUGACUUGCAGGUAAUCUGAAUUAUACGAUGGAUGAGCUGAUGAGUAUGAUAUUGAAUAUGGACCAGCAGUUUGAUGCUCAAGACACUCAGUUUAGGAAGAUGAAGGCAUCGAUUCAAAGGUGAAAAACUCCACAGCCAUCAACAUGUCCCUUCACAUUACUUCUCAUCCCUCUACCAUGGUGAUUUUUCCACCCCUAACCCAAAUUCUCCUUCAAAACCGGAUGGCAUUUAUGAUGAUUAGUGAUGUUUUUAAUUUUGUGCAAUUUUGUUUUGUCUAUGACAUUGUGUUUUAGACACAUUUUGAUUUUGGUUUGUAAUAAUUUUGAUUUCUGACUGGUUUUCCUUGGUACACGCCCUUUUUGAAGUUGUCAAAAGGGGACAAACUUAUGUUGUGUAUGUUGCGUGUUAUGUUAUGUUUGCUUCAUG